GUGAAUCAUCAAAUUUUUGAACGCAAAUUGCACUCUCUGGCAUUCCGGAGAGUAUGCCUGUUUGAGGGUCAGUUUAAAUAAAAAUCGAGGUGUUGCUGUUUUGUUACUCACCGGAAUUGGGUUAUCUUUGAUCUUUUAAAUAGUUUAAGUGACUUAAUAUUGAUAACUUUUGCAUCCAAGAAGUACAUAAGAAUAUUUUUUUAUCCGUCUUGAGUUGCCAACUUUUUAUUAGGUAUGACGAUGCUGUUUGUGUCAUCGUACCUAUAUUAUACUCAUAUUUUGACCUCAAAUCAGGUAGGAG
rnacentral:misc_RNA from 1 species